rnacentral:rRNA from 1 species
GACGAACGCUGGCGGCGUGCUUAACACAUGCAAGUCGAACGGAAAGGCCCUUCGGGGUACUCGAGUGGCGAACGGGUGAGUAACACGUGGGUGAUCUGCCCUGCACUCUGGGAUAAGCCUGGGAAACUGGGUCUAAUACCGGAUAUGAUCAUGCGCCUCAUGGUGUGUGGUGGAAAGCUUUUGCGGUGUGGGAUGGGCCCGCGGCCUAUCAGCUUGUUGGUGGGGUAAUGGCCUACCAAGGCGACGACGGGUAGCCGGCCUGAGAGGGUGACCGGCCACACUGGGACUGAGAUACGGCCCAGACUCCUACGGGAGGCAGCAGUGGGGAAUAUUGCACAAUGGGCGCAAGCCUGAUGCAGCGACGCCGCGUGGGGGAUGACGGCCUCGGUUGUAACCGUACUUCUAGUACGACGAAGCGUAAGUAGACGGUAGGUACGAGAAGAAG